CCAAUGAAUGCUGAGAUAGGCUCCAGCCCCCUUGCGACCGUGACCAGGAAUAAGCAGGUUAGAUAAUGGCAGCACUGUGUCAUCAUGCUCAGUCUUGACUCUUGAACACACUGCUGCAGUCCCUGCCUUUGGACAAGACCUGGCAAGCUGUCCCAUUGGCCAUUAAUCAGUGGGGGACAGUUGAAUGCAGAACAGUCCGUCAGGCUUAACCGCAUUCCUUCUACUUCAUACUAUUGUCCUUCUUCCCGUAUCGCAGCGCACCCUACUGACUGUCCAUUGACUGGCCAUCUGUUGGCAUACAAUGUGUGGAUCUCUCCCUCCUUCCUGCAUCCAAAUCAGGUUCCCUCUUUUCGUUAUCUGGCUUCCUUUUCUUGAUUGGCUUCUGGACAUGUCACAAGGAAAUGAGGAAGGGGAGAAGAAGAGGAGAUGAAGAAACAAAAAGAGAGCAAUCUGCUUUCAGACAUCCCCUAAACAAACUGGAUCUACCACUUAUUGACAGGUCUGCAUUUCAACCAGGAGUCCAUUGUGCCCCUGUGUUGCUCCUGGUCUUGACAUCAGUGACAUCACAAAAAAUUUUCCACGUAUGAUGCAGGGAACUGAGUCAGUUGCAUAAUUAUAUGCACACUCUGGGUGCAUCUGAAAACUCAUCAAGGUUUUUGACAAGCUGCCACAUUAAAGGAUAGACAAAUAAG